AACCAAGCAAUAUCUGUGCAAUCCUUACUACCCCCCUGCCAACCGCCCCACGAAUCGCGGAACUCUUGAUUUUUGUUCUGUUCUACAAUCGUCGUGCAAUAUUUAGAACCAACUCUAGUCAAUAAAUUCGUUUUGCUUCCCCUUGAAGGAUACUUGUCCAAGAAAAAAGGAUACCCCCAAAACGUUUUUUUUUGUUUCGUAUUUUUUCGAGUGUGUGAUCUGAAAGUGCGGUCUCGUCUGACUCUAAACUACGCGAAAAGUAGCAAGAAACGGUAAUAAAAAAUAAUACACAAAAAAAUAUAUAUAGACACUAUCUUUCAAACGUUGGACAAAGAAGCGUGCAAGGGAGACAGACAUCGAGACAGACAGAGCGAAGCAGAGAGAGAGAGAGAGACAGAGUGAGAGAGUGCUAGACUUGGAAGAGAGCGAGAGAGCCAACGAGUCGACGCGAGACUUUGAGAAAGUUUUUUUUUUCGUGCAAUCAAUAUAUAUUAUAGUCAGAGUCCUUCCCCACACCCCCCCCACCAACCCAAAAAAACUAUAUCCGAGCAACUUUCAAGCAGCAGCUGUAUGACAGUAUUUCCAGCCCAACCGGCACCUCGGCACACCCACUAUUUUCGUCUCGGCCCCAAAGCAUAUUGAGUAAAAGCAAGAGAGCAAUCGAACAGCCAUCAUUUAUCAGGGGCAAGAAGAACAACAAGAUAUUGAAGAAAAUCCUUGGAAAUGAGACAUUUUUAAAACUGCAGAAAGCAGAAAGUAUCUGGAAAAUAAAAACAGAAACGAAACGGAGCAGAACCGAAUCGAAUCGAA